rnacentral:lncRNA from 1 species
UUUAUUGAGAACUAGGAUUCCAAAUGUAGAAUUAGUUGGGUAUAUAUGCAAUCUAAGAUGCAAAAUGAUAAACAAAACAAAGAAAAGCAAGGUUCGCAAUACCAAUUCGAACAUAUACGCACGCAGCAGUUUAGUAUUCCACAGGUAAACCAUAAAACAAUAAAAUUUUGCAAGCAGCAAAGUAAAACCUCAACAUACAAAACUUCCCACGAGUCCCAAUUCCAAGCAAAACCCAAUACUCAAAACUGACAAACCAAGCUAAUAAACAUAUAAAGAUAGAAUCUUGACUGUAAAAACCAGAACCGAACAAAGCAAAACAAAGAUGGGAGCUUUGAUAAGUACCAGAUGGAAAGGAAGUGACUAGAGAAUAGAGGAAGUCGAAGACGAAGUUGAGGGCUGCUGUUAGAAAUAGUCGCAGCCUCCUUCAUGGAUAACGCUACACAACAACAACUGGAUGCCCAGAAUAGUUUUUUCGAUGUCGGAUCUCUCAGAGACGGCUGCUCUACGCUCGUCGCGUCGCGUCGCUAUGUCUGAGAGAUCGACGUGGAUGCCGUCGAAGAUGAAGGAGGGGCGGAACGUUUGGAUGGGUGGAGUUGAGUACGGUCGAUGAAGUCGGCGAAGAAUUGGGCCUGGGUCGUGUUGGCCAUUUGCAGAGAACGGCAGUACAGCAGCCAUUAGAGGGGGAUGAGAAAAGAUAAAGGAAGAGAAAGGAAGAGCAACGAAAAAUUAUAAUCCCAAGCACGAGACGCGCCUAGCUUCGGCGUGUUUGCAAGCAAGUGGUAAAAUUUUGUUUUUACCAAUUUACUUCCGUCAGUAGACAAAUGCGGAGCACAGACGCUCCGGAGCAUUCCAGACGUCUCCCACGCACGCUGGCUUAUACUGUUUGAGAUUUCCCCAUGCAAGCUUCUAGAUGAAGGGAGCGGUCCAACUUGUCUGUUUGGUUCCAGUAUGUGUUCCCAAUUCAACUGGCUAUUACUUGAUAUCUGUAAGUCCUCACUAUUGCUAUAAUGAUAAAUGUUGAGCCAAUUAAUCCAAAGGAAUAUGCCUGUUCAUGAUGA